rnacentral:rRNA from 1 species
GAUUAUGGCUCAGGAUGAACGCUGGCGGCGUGCCUAACACAUGCAAGUCGAACGGAAAUCGAGGCGCUUCGGAGACUUCGGUCAAUGUUGUCUGGUUUAGUGGCGGACGGGAGAGUAACGCGUGGAUAACCUGCCUCAUACAGGGGGAUAACAGUUAGAAAUGACUGCUAAUACCGCAUAAGCGCACGGGACCGCAGGAUCCUGUGUGAAAAACUCCGGUGGUAUGAGAUGGAUCCGCGUCUGAUUAGCUAGUUGGCGGGGUAACAGCCCACCAAGGCGACGAUCAGUAGCCGGCCUGAGAGGGUGAACGGCCACAUUGGGACUGAGACACGGCCCAAACUCCUACGGGAGGCAGCAGUGGGGGAUAUUGCACAAUGGGGGAAACCCUGAAUGCAGCGACGCCGCGUGAGGGAAGAAGGUUUUCGGAUCGUAAACCUCUGUCCUUGGUGGAGAGGAAGAGACGGUAGCCAAGGAGGAAGCCCCGGCUAACUACGUGCCAGCCGCUGC